rnacentral:rRNA from 1 species
CGAAAGCAUGGGGAGCGAACAGGAUUAGAUACCCUGGUAGUCCAUGCCGUAAACGUUGGGAACUAGAUGUGGGGUCCAUUCCACGGAUUCCGUGUCGCAGCUAACGCAUUAAGUUCCCCGCCUGGGGAGUACGGCCGCAAGGCUAAAACUCAAAGGAAUUGACGGGGGCCCGCACAAGCGGCGGAGCAUGCGGAUUAAUUCGAUGCAACGCGAAGAACCUUACCAAGGCUUGACAUAUACGAGAACGCUGCAGAAAUGUAGAACUCUUUGGACACUCGUAUACAGGUGGUGCAUGGUUGUCGUCAGCUCGUGUCGUGAGAUGUUGGGUUAAGUCCCGCAACGAGCGCAACCCUUAUCGUAUGUUGCCAGCACGUAAUGGUGGGAACUCAUAGGAGACUGCCGGGGUCAACUCGGAGGAAGGUGGGGAUGACGUCAAAUCAUCAUGCCCCUUAUGUCUUGGGCUUCACGCAUGCUACAAUGGCCGGUACAAAGGGCUGCAAUACCGCAAGGUGGAGCGAAUCCCAAAAAGCCGGUCUCAGUUCGGAUUGAGGUCUGCAACUCGACCUCAUGAAGUCGGAGUCGCUAGUAAUCGUGGAUCAGCAACGCCACGGUGAAUACGUUCCCGGGCCUUGUACACACCGCCCGUCAAGUCAUGAAAGUCGGUAACACCCGAAGCCGGUGGCCCAACCUUUUGGAGGGAGCCGUCGAAGGUGGGAUCGGUGAUUAGGACUAAGUCGUAACAAGGUAGCCGUACCGGAAGGUGCGGCUG